rnacentral:lncRNA from 1 species
GGGAGGGCUGAUCGGGGAGGAAGAAAGAAAGGAAGAAAGAAAAAAGAAGAAAAAGAGAAAGAAAGAAGAAGAAGAAGAAGAAAGAAAAAGGAAAAAGGAAAAAGAAAAAGAAGAAAAAAAUAAUAAUAUUUUUUCAACAGUCGGGUCAAACCAACCCGACCCGAACUGGUCGACCCGACUGACGACCCGACCCGACCCGACUGCUUCAGGCCCUAAAAAAAAAGGCAAAGCCCCCUCCCCAAAAAAAAGCAAAACAAAACAAAAAAGAAAGCAGGCCAUUUUUGGGCAACCCAGCAGGCCCAUUUGCACAGCAGCUCAGC